UUAAGUUCUUUACAGAUUUUGGAUACGAACCCUUUGAUAAGUCGCUGGCACAUAUCUUCUCCCAUUCUAUCGGUUGCCUUUAGUUUUGCUGUUUCCUUCGCUGUGCAGAAGCUUUUUAUUUUGAUGAGGCCCCAAUAGUGCAUUUUUCCUUUUGCCUCCUGAAAGGCAAUUUUUGAGGGAUCCUGUGGCCCAACAUAUCCCAGAGUGACAAGAACGGGGCCAGACUCCCUAGAUAAGCAUAGAGGAAAUGGCUCUGUGACAGUGUGCCUCUAAUGGACAACAGGGAGAACUGAGCUUGAAAAAGAGCAACAGGGUGGAGGAGAAUACACAGAAGUCCAAAGUUCUUUAUCAACAGGAGAGAAUGGGUUAUAACAAAAACUGAAGUUUCUAGCACAAUCUCCUGGCAAGAUGGUUGUCUCAGGAGUAAGAAUACUGUGUAGGCUAGGACAAAGGGAAACCUCCUGCAUUGUUCCUUCAGAAGGAGAGGGAAAGUUUCUGGCAUUGAAUUUUUUUUUCCCCUGACCUCUGAGGCAGUCAUGCUACACAGUUACCAGUUUCUGGCUUGUGGCUGACCCUCAAGUAUUUGGAAACGUGGCUCUGUUGCACUUGUCCUCAAAUGGGCUAUUUCUGCAUAUUCUUCAGGUCCUGAAGAAUACUGCAAAUGGGUGAACUGUCUGUGCUUCAGAUGAAGGCAUCUGUAGCAGCCAAUGGUUGGAGUUCUGCUAACUAUUACCACGACAACUCCAGGCUUUCAAGCACCAAGCCAUCAGUGACUGUGGCUCUGUGGAAGUAUUCCUUCAACAAGCAAUGCCCUGGCCACUUCUGGAAGCUAAAUGCCCAUCUGGGAACCAUUUGCUUUUCCAUAUGAAGACAUCUCAAGCAGCCACAGGAGACAGGCAACCACCAAUACCAAGCCCCACAAGGUCAGUCAUAGGUAGUUAAUCAUUAUUUGGGGAUAUCAGAAACUGAUUGCUCUAGGCUAGCAAUAGGAAUGCAGUGGGAGCCGGCCACCAAUCCCGGGCAUUCGCUGUGUGAGUGAAAGCCUUACCACAUUUCAAUGUGACUCAAGACCUCCUUAGAAAAACAGCUAGGGGAUCAGAGUGGAUACAUGAUGGGUCAAAGGUCUUCAUUUCUGCAGAGAAUAGGAUAAAACUGAGAGGAAACUGACGUGCCCUGUUGCUCUUCUGCCCACAGUUGAUGAUGCUUCUUCCCAAUUCUCUGGCUUUACCUAUAUACACCAACAUUUUGUCUGGCACCUUCAAGUGCCCUAUGUCUUUUUCUUGGCAAGCCCCAAGGGGCUUUUUGCCCAACCUAUGCCAGAGUCAGGAUGACUUGGCCAGUCUCCCCAAUUAAAAUGAGGGGACAUUGCUCUUAGGUCUGGCCUUGAAUUCCCCAUAGUGGGGACUUCAAAAAAAGCAAGGGGAUGGGAGUGGGUACCCAGAAAGCCAAAGAUCUUCAUUUCACCUGAGAAUAGGAUAAUUCUGGGAAGAAAGAGAAUAGCACAGUCUCCUACCAAGCUCGCUGUUUUCUGAAGGAACAAACACAUGUGGGCUGGGUAAAUGGGAAUCAUCCAUCUGCUUCAUGAGGGAGCAGAAGGAAAGCUGAGGGCCAAACACAAGCUAGCAUUACCUGACCACCCCCACAUAAGAUAUGUGUGACAUUCCUCAGGCACUCCUGGCUGCCCAAGGGCAAAGAAAAUGACAGAAAACAAAUGGAGACUCCAUCAAUGGACAAGUAUCUUAGUAAAUCACAAGAAAAAGGCAGAGGCAUUGUGAGACCCAAGGAAUUUAACAAAAACCCCCUACCCCUGGACAAGCAGAGCAAGACUAACUCCAUUUUGUGCUACACCCACCAUCUCAUGUAUAACCCCCACAUGACCUACUUAUUGCUUAAGACAAUCCCCCACCCUAGUCAAGCCGCUGAGCACACUCUUACUGGAAACCGGCUCAUACAGGAAUGCGGAACCCCUAACCGCCAAAGAAUGUAAACUCCGCCUUUUGCCCGCCAAACUUGCGUGCCAAUUCUGACCAGAGUGAUAGGCUAGUUCAAACAGUUACUAUAGAGUAAAUUGUAAUUCAUUUGGCCACCUGCGUGCGGACUGACAUGACUAUGCAACUUUCUGUGUGUGUUACAAUCUCAUUGGCCACUGGCCCCUAUAAAACUGCUACGCCUCUUAACCUAGGGGUCCAAGUCCCUGCUCCGCUGUGUCGGGUAUACUUGGGCCCAAGCUCGAGCUUGCAAAUAAACCCUCGUGCGUUUGCAUCGG